rnacentral:rRNA from 1 species
AGCGAACGUUUGCGGCGGGCUUAACACAUGCAAGUCGAACGAGAAUCCCUUCGGGGAGGAAAGUGGCGCACGGGUGCGUAACACGUGGAUAACCAACCCAUUGGUUUGGGACAACACCGGGAAACUGGUGCUAAUACCAGAUGUGUCGCAGCUGUCUUCAGGCGGUUGCGAGAAAGGCCCGCAAGGGUCGCCAACGGACGGGUCCGCGUCCCAUCAGCUAGUUGGUGAGGUAAUGGCUCACCAAGGCAAAGACGGGUAGCUGGUCUGAGAGGAUGAUCAGCCACACUGGAACUGAGACACGGUCCAGACUCCUACGGGAGGCAGCAGUGGGGAAUAUUGCGCAAUGGGCGAAAGCCUGACGCAGCCACGCCGCGUGAGCGAUGAAGGUCUUCGGAUCGUAAAGCUCUGUGGGGGGGANAAGAAGAAAGCCGGUGAAGAGCCGGCCCUGACGGUAUCCCCUUAGCAAGCACCGGCUAACUCCGUGCCAGCAGCCGCGGUAAAGUA